CCUACGGGUGGCAGCAGUAGGGAAUAUUGCUCAAUGGGGGAAACCCUGAAGCAGCCACGCCGCGUGGAGGAUGAAGGUUUUAGGAUUGUAAACUCCUUUUGUUAGAGAAGAUUAUGACGGUAUCUACCGCCUACGCCCCGGCUAACUCCGUUCCAGCCGCCGCGGUAAUACGGAGGGUGCAAGCGUUACUCGGAAUCACUGGGCGUAACGAGUGCGUAGGCGGGGUAAUAAGUCAGAUGUGAAAUCCUGUAGCUUAACUACAGAACUGCAUUUGAAACUUUUACUCUGGAGUGUGGGAGAGGUAGGUGGAAUUCUUGGUGUAGGGGUAAAAUCCGUAGAGAUCAAGAGGAAUACUCAUUGCGAAGGCGACCUGCUGGAACAUGACUGACGCUGAUGCACGAAAGCGUGGGGAGCAAACAGGAUUAGAUACCCGUGUAGUC
rnacentral:rRNA from 1 species